rnacentral:rRNA from 1 species
UGUGGCGGCGGCUGCUAUACAUGCAAGUCGAGCGGACAGAUGGGAGCUUGCUCCCUGAUGUUAGCGGCGGACGGGUGAGUAACACGUGGGUAACCUGCCUGUAAGACUGGGAUAACUCCGGGAAACCGGGGCUAAUACCGGAUGGUUGUCUGAACCGCAUGGUUCAGACAUAAAAGGUGGCUUCGGCUACCACUUACAGAUGGACCCGCGGCGCAUUAGCUAGUUGGUGAGGUAACGGCUCACCAAGGCGACGAUGCGUAGCCGACCUGAGAGGGUGAUCGGCCACACUGGGACUGAGACACGGCCCAGACUCCUACGGGAGGCAGCAGUAGGGAAUCUUCCGCAAUGGACGAAAGUCUGACGGAGCAACGCCGCGUGAGUGAUGAAGGUUUUCGGAUCGUAAAGCUCUGUUGUUAGGGAAGAACAAGUGCCGUUCAAAUAGGGCGGCACCUUGACGGUACCUAACCAGAAAGCCACGGCUAACUACGUGCCAGCAGCCGCGGUAAUACGUAGGUGGCAAGCGUUGUCCGGAAUUAUUGGGCGUAAAGGGCUCGCAGGCGGUUUCUUAAGUCUGAUGUGAAAGCCCCCGGCUCAACCGGGGAGGGUCAUUGGAAACUGGGGAACUUGAGUGCAGAAGAGGAGAGUGGAAUUCCACGUGUAGCGGUGAAAUGCGUAGAGAUGUGGAGGAACACCAGUGGCGAAGGCGACUCUCUGGUCUGUAACUGACGCUGAGGAGCGAAAGCGUGGGGAGCGAACAGGAUUAGAUACCCUGGUAGUCCACGCCGUAAACGAUGAGUGCUAAGUGUUAGGGGGUUUCCGCCCCUUAGUGCUGCAGCUAACGCAUUAAGCACUCCGCCUGGGGAGUACGGUCGCAAGACUGAAACUCAAAGGAAUUGACGGGGGCCCGCACAG